GGCUGUAAACCAUUUUAAAUUCAGGCUGUAAACCAUUUUAAAUUCAAGCUGUAAACCGUUUUAAAUUCAGGCUGUAAACCAUUUUAAAUUCAGGCACUAAACCAUUUUAAAUUCAGGCUGUAAACCAUUUUAAAUUCAUGCUGUAACAACACAAUGUGGGAGGAGUUAAAAAGGUGUGAACCCUUUUUGAAGACCACUGUACAUACAACCGUUGCUAUGGGACCAAGAACAUUGCUACAGUACUGUGUUGUUUAUAGCACACCUAUUUAUACUGUAUCACACUGUAGAUAUAUGCCACUCAGAAAGCAUGCAGGACAUUAUUAACGUCAUUACGGUAAGAUUAUAAAUUAACCAUAUGAAAUAAAGACGAGAGGAAUAUUAAAACAGGGAUUUUACCACUGAGGAAGUCAUGUGGUUUGUAUGACUAGAUUUGGACUAGAUAUAUACCUUCUUCAUCACUGACUCCAUCCAAUCUACGUCCCACAUAAAGUAUUCUAUUGUGGACCCUUGAAUUUCUACCCUACUCAGUGAUAUUCUGAUAUAACCAUGUAGUAUUUACGUCCGGAACGACUGCCUGCCGCGGACAGACUAUCCUAAGGCUUUGUGAACUUCUGAGUGCUGUGCUUUAAUAUGCAAAGGAACAGGUUACUAUACAAUACAUUGUCCUGGCUGACACUGCUGUAUCCAUCACUGAUAUCCAUUCACAUCUUAACAACUGCCAAAUACAUUACACUACAUUUUAUUUGGUCUGGAAAUGACUUUUGUAAAACUGUGUUGUCUGUCACCUUAAAAAAAAACACAAAAAAAAGACUUGAAGAGUGAUUAAAGAGUCCAGGGUGAAUGUCGGAGGGUGUUGUUGUGGUUAUACUGAGCUGUUUGACAAAUGGCAUCCUACUCGUCAUACUGUGUAGUGCACUACUUUUGACCAGGGCUCAUGAGCUCAGGAUCCAUAGGAUUAGGGCCCAUAGAGGUCAGGGUCCAUAGGGUUAGGGCCUAUAGAUGUCAGGGCCCAUAGGGUUAGGGCCCAUAGAGCUCAGAGUCCUUAGGGUUAGGGCCCAUAGUGGUCAGGGCCCAUAGAGGUCAGGGCCCAUAGGGUUAGGGCCCAUAGAGGUCAGGGCCCAUAGGGUCAGGGCCCAUAGAGGUCAGGGCCCAUAGGGUUAGGGCCCAUAGAGCUCAGGACCCAUAGAGCUCAGGGCCCAUAGAGGUCAGGGCCCAUAGAGGUCAGGGCCCAUAGAGGUCAGGGCCCAUAGGGUCAGGGCCCAUAGAGCUCAGGUCCCAUGGACCUCAGGGCCCAUAGGGGUUAGGGCCCAUAGGGUUAGGGCCCAUAGAGGUCAGGGCCCAUAACGCUCAGGGCCCAUAACGUUCAGGGCCCAUAGAGGUCAGGGCCCAUAGGGUUAGGGCCCAUAGGGUUCAGGUCAAAAGUAGUGCACUACAUGGGGAAUAAGUAUGGUGCCCCCUGGGGGACACAAUUCAUGUUGAAGUAGAUGGUUUCCUUCAGAGCUCUGGUCCUGUAUCUCUCCUGAGCCCUAAAAGCAACUCUGUUUUCUAUUGAAGUUUGUAAAAUAAGCGCUUUGAAAUAAAAGAACAAAUGAUAUCUCGUACUCUAGCCUGCUCUGGAAAUGUUUAAAAAUGCAAUUAUCGAUGAAAGAAAGCUUGCAUUACAUUACCCCAUUGAUUAAAGAUUAUAUUACUGAGAAAAAAAAUUUUUCAUGUCAAUUUACUUCUUAACUUCGAAUGUUUCCCAAAUGGCACCCUAUUCUCUACAUAGGGCACUACUUUUGACUAGAGCACUAUGGCCCCUGGUUAAAAGUAGUGCACUUUGUAGGGAAUAGGGUGCCAUUUGGGUUGCUAACCAUUAAAUAAGCCUUGUGUUUUGAUUGUGUAACUGAAGGUCAGGGCUGUAGUUGAUCCCUGGACUAGUGGGUCUCAUCUUUACAAGCAUUUUGCUACUCUCGCAAUAAUCAUUUGCCAACCAUUUAUAUGUGACCAAUAAAAUUUGAUUUGAAAAUG